rnacentral:lncRNA from 1 species
UUGCGAUGAAUGAGGUCAAAAAGUGCGAGGAGAAGGUUAAAUCAUAGGAUAUCACCAAAUUUUGGGUCGGGGUUGUUUUCCUAUGUUAGAGGUAUACAUCUUUUCUUCUUUGAAGUUUUCAAUCACCUCACGUUUUAUUUUUGGUUUUUUGUGAUCACAUUUCUUUUCUAUAUGAGAUAUUAUGUGUUGUGUUACCGGAGAUAUAAUGUGUUGUGUUAUCACGUUAUUACGUGGAUCAUUUAAUUUUUCCUCAAG